AAAAUAACAAUGAUUUCCCUAGUAACGGCGAGUGAAGAGGAAAGAGCUCAAAGUUGGAACCUGUUUGGCUUAGCUAAACCGGAUUGUAAACUGUAGAAACAUUUUCCAGAUACACUAGACAAAAAAGUCCUUUGGAACAGGGCAUCAUAGAGGGUGAGAAUCCCGUCUUUGGUCUAAGUAGUUGUCUAUUGUGAUAUGUUUUCAAAGAGUCAGGUUGUUUGGGAAUGCAGCCUAAAUUGGGUGGUAAAUCUCACCUAAAGCUAAAUAUUUGCGAGAGACCGAUAGCGAACAAGUACCGUGAGGGAAAGAUGAAAAGAACUUUGAAAAGAGAGUUAAACAGUAUGUGAAAUUGUUAAAAGGGAACCGUUUGGAGCCAGAUUGGCUUGAUUGUAAUCAACCUAGAAUUCGUUUUGGGUGCACUUGCAGUCUAUGCCUGCCAACGACAGUUUGAUUUGGAGGAAAAAAUUAAUAGGAAUGUGGCCUUUCGAGGUGUUAUAGCCUAUUAUCAUACUCUGGAUUGGACUGAGGAACGCAGCGAAUGCCUUUAGGCAAGAUUGCUGGGCGCUUUCGCUAAUAAAUGUUAGAAUUUCUGCUUCGGGUGGUGCUAAUGUUUAAAGGAGGAAGCCCGUUUAGUAUAUUUUUUAUUCGCUUAGGUUGUUGGCUUAAUGACUCUAAAUGAC
rnacentral:rRNA from 1 species